rnacentral:rRNA from 1 species
UACGUAGGGGGCAAGCGUUGUCCGGAUUUAUUGGGCGUAAAGAGCGUGUAGGCGGCUAGGUAGGUCCGUUGUGAAAACUCGAGGCUCAACCUCGAGACGCCGGUGGAAACCAUCUAGCUAGAGUCCGGAAGAGGAGAGUGGAAUUCCUGGUGUAGCGGUGAAAUGCGCAGAUAUCAGGAGGAACACCAAUGGCGAAGGCAGCUCGCUGGAACGGUACUGACGCUGAGGCGCGAAAGCGUGGGGAGCGAACAGG